rnacentral:lncRNA from 1 species
UUUUCUACAGUAUUCAUCGCCACCCAUUUCCACCGCUUUGGGUUGUUGCUCAUAAAACCUUACCCAUUUCACUCAUUCAGAUCAAAAUUGGUUCUUUAAGGUUCCAACAAACCCAGAAUUGGUUCUACAUUCUUUCCUUUUCAUUUUAUUUUGUACAACACUGAAAUUUCGUCCCUUUUUUCCAUUAUCCUUAAUGACUUUUACAAUUUCCUUGUUUAAUUUCAAGUUAUUGGAAUUAAAUUUUUCAAUAUGGUGUGUUUAAUCACAAUAUGGAGUGUUUAACUAAGAAAUUAAAAAUGGGUUUGAUUAGGUGGUUCUUCUGAAUUGUUGUUAUAAAGAAAGAGAGGAACUUGAAGGGUUUGCGAUUUCUGGGAACAUUGAGGCGUGUUGUAUUGUGUUGUUCAUGUUCUUUUUUAUUUCUUUUUUUCAUUUAUUUUUUUUAUUCAUUUUAAUUAGUUGACAUUUUUUUUAUUUUUAAAUUAAAAAAUUACACAAUGGCAUCUUUGUGGGUUAAGUGGCAUGACACAUAGGUUUAGGUUUGACUUAGUCAAAAUUGAGAUUUUGUAAAAGGGGGUAAACAUGAGGGGUCAUUCUUACCAUUUUUUUAAUAGGGGGUCAAAAUUGUAACUUUUACAAACUUAGGGAGUAAAAAGUGUGUUUAAGCCUAAGUUUUAAUAUGAGGUUUUUAUGUCGGCCUAUGUGACCUUUUAGUUUAUAUUUAAUUAAAAAAAAAUAAUCUUAAUAGGUCCAAUGCUAGAGCAGAAGUAGUCUUACCUAUGAGUCGGUAUUUUAUAUAUAAAUAGUAAAUGUUCAUAUAUAAAUGAUAGUUAUGUUUUUUUACUGGAAUUAUACUUGACAUAAUCGCGCCGAGAGACUUAUAACAUAUAUUGUAACAUAUAGUGUCCGACACGUUUCAAAUAGAUUAUUUGAAGUUGAGAAAAUUUAUAUGAAACCAAACUGAAUCAUCACCGUCGUUCAUCAUCAUCACCACUGGAAUCUUCAAUCUCAUCAUCAACACCGUCGUUCAUUAUCAUCACUGUCAUCAUCACCAUACCGGAAUGCCAAAACCAUUUUGCUAUGGAAAUGGUUUCUGUGAGUUGUACUCCAAACCCAUUUUGCUGUGGAAAUGGUUUCCAAAAUCUUGAAUCUCAUCAUCAACACCGUCGUUCAUCGUCAUCACCGUACCGGAAUGCCAAAACCAUUUUACUGUGGAAAUGGUUUCUAUGAGUUGUACUCCAAACCCAUUUUGCAGUGGAAAUGGUUUCCAGAAUCUUAAAUCUCAUCAUCAAUACCGUCGUUCAUCAUCAUCACCGUACCGGAAUGCCAAAACCAUUUUGCUGUGGAAAACCAUUAGAUGUACUUAAUGGUUUCCAGUAGUUUCCCAGCCAUAAAUCCCUCUAACAUCGCAAAGAUUUCGAAUCCAAUAACAACUUCAGAUCUGAAACCGUGAACACUAAACCACAGAAAAUCACAUAAACAUCAUCUACCACUCUCAAAUUCGUUUAUAAAUCCAGAAUCGGUUUAGAAGAGGUAGAGGGAGAGUUCGUACAACCUACCACAACAAGAUUCGAACCGGAUCGGAACAACACUUGAACACAACAACAAAUCCGAACCGGAUCCGAGAAGAAGACCAAAACGCGAAACAGAUCCGUGAAGAACAAGAGGUAGUUUCAUUUUCUCUUUUUGUUCCAUUUUUUUACUCGUAGAUCUACGCUCGUGUGAUUUUUUUUUUUAGAAAUCUAAGGCAAUAUUUGGAAUCAACACAAAAAAGGAUGUCUAAAACCGUAAAAACUUUUUGAUUUGGAUGCAGUUUUGAACUCCGGCGCGGUGGUGCCACCACCGACCACCGCGCCGGAAUCAUCAUGUGUGGCCGAAAGAGAUGAAGACUCAUCUGAAUUGUAGAGAGAGAGGGAGAGCUUUAUGUUUUAGUGAGAGAAAUAUUUGAAGCAAAUGAAGUUUGAUUUGGUGUAGUUUGAGAAGCCUAGGAUUAUUACACGUGUACACUAGAUCUGAUGGUUGUGAAGUGUUUAUGCACGGUGCAUAAGGAUUUCCUUAUGCACUGAUGACAUCUCGUCAUUACGUAAUUUUUAUAUGUAUUUUGAUCACAAAGUGGAGUUCAAAAGACAACAUAUGCAGCAAAAAGAGCAGAAAAACUGAAGAAAAUACAAAGAAGAAAACGUGUCACGAUUUGGUAAAAACGAGACACGAUUUUAGAAGACCAAAAUCAUGCUUCGACAUUGAAGAAAUUGCGUCACGAUGGCAUAAUCGUGACACGAUUUGAGGAAACCCUAAUACAUAUAUUUGUGAUUCAAGGAGAAUCGUGCCAUGAUUUACUUAAAACUUGACACGAUUUUAGGCGGAAUUAUGUGCCUAUUUAAGCUGAAGUCUAUUCCAAAGACAAGGGUUACGAUUUUGAGAGAGCAAAGUGCGAUUUUGAGACUACAAGACGGCGAGAAGGGAGAUUUCUUCACUCUUUUACCAGUUCAUGUAUGUAUUGAUUCCUCUAAUGCUUAUGUUAUUUGUAAACUCCAUUAUGAGUAGCUAAAUCCAUCAGAGGUUAGGUCUGAGAUGAUUCUUUGUAACCCUAAUUGACUCAUGUUGCUGUGAAACUCUAUUAUUUGUGAAUGACAAUCUAGUUUUUAUUCAAUUCAAUUGUUCUUAAUGCUUUUUAUAUCCUGAUCAAAUAUAAACAUGAUUUAGUGAGAACGAAUGACUACUGACCAUAGCGUUCGACUUAGACCUAAUUGAAUUGUUCUAAUAAACAUGGUUAGUCUAGGAAUGGAUAAUCCUUUAUUAGUGAUAUUAGGUUAACGUGCUUAAACUUUCAACGGUUAUUAGACCACCUAAGGAAUUAGGAACUGUAACCCUAGAAGAGGGUCCUGUAACGCCCUCUUUAAUUAUUUAAUUAUUUUAUAGAGUUUAGAGUCCACUUUGAUGAUUAUGUGAUGUGUUGAUAUUUUAUUUAAAGACUUGUUUUAUUAUUUACUAGAAUAAGAUUUGAAAAUAAAAUAAAUAUUGAGAUGUGAGGCUCUUUUGGAAUUUGGACGAGUUUAGUGGAAAUAGAGGAAAUAAGAUAAAGUGGAUUGAGGAGAGAUAUAAGGAGGAAACUAGGUUUAGAAAAGUUUUUUUUUACGUGAAACUGCUUUUUGGAGAAAAAGGGAGAAAACAAGAAAAGAAGAGAACCAAGAGGGAGAGAGACCGCAGAUCAUCAAUACUAAGGUAAGGGUGAGACUAACCUUCAAUAAUUCUGAGUAUGUGAUUCUGAAGAUGAAUUUAACAUGGUUGUAGGUUGAGGUUUUAGAAUUUGAGAGAUUAGAAUUAAAAGAUGAAAUUGAAAGUUGAGAAUUAAGGAAAACUAGUUUAGGUUUCGAAUUGAGUUUCUAGUCUUAAAAAGAGUGGAUAAUACAGUAGGUUGAUGAAUAAUUAGUGUUAUAAUGAUAGGGUGAUCAUAUGAUAAUGAUUAGGGUCAUGUUUGGAGAGUAUUGGAUCGAAAACAGAGUCGAAAAGAUUUUCCCAAAGGCGAAAUCGCAACUGAACUACGAUUUUGCUGUCAGUGUGCAAAACGUGUUUUUAUAGUCUCAGUUUGACAAGUUUAAGUUUCGAACUGGAUUUAGGUGCCUUCACGAAAGUUGUAGAUAUGGAUGUUAUCUGUCACUCGGCUUUGGAGGCACUCAAUUUAAGCACAUAGAACUCAAGAUAUGAUCAAAUUACUACACAGGGGUCAGCAGGGAUCAACACAGUCGUCCUCUUUUCCCGAGCAUAGGAAAAUCAAUUUUUCUGGAAUUUUCUGUUCUGAAUUAGGUUUGGGAGUCUUCAUGAAAGUUGUAGAUAAUUUUGUUAGCUUUCCAACUAAGUUAAUCCAAAACUUAGGGAAUAAUUCCAAACCUCAAAACUAGAAGUACUAGGAGUUCAAUUAAGGUGUUUAAGAGUAUUUAACCUAUGUUAUGAGUUGAUCCUUGGGUAGGAAUGAAGGUUGAAUAUAAUAUUACUGAUGAUCUGUGAAGCUGUUAUAAUAUGAUUUAAUGUUGAUAGUAAUGUAAUAUAUUUGUAUAUGCAUUAUGUGAAUUAUAUAAGAUGUUUAAGUUGAUGUUGAUUAUCAUUUGAUGUUGUUAUAUCUUGAGAUGUUUACGUGCUGCCUAUGUUGCUGUUGUUGGUUAUGUGAAAUAUUUAUAUGCCUUAUGUGGAAAAUGUAUGAUGUUUAAGUUGUUGAUGCUCUUCAUUAAUAUUGUUAUGUUGUGAAUUGCUUGUACUGUUUCUGUUGCUGUUGCAUAUUGAUCAAGUUGCAGGUGUUGGUCUAAGUUGUAAAGUUGUAAGUUGUCUUUCCAAAGUAUUGGAGUCUUAAGUUGUUAAUGUUGUCUAAGUUGUUGAAGUCGUAGUUGAAGCUGUUGUUGGUGACUGUUUAUGUUCAGGUGUUUUGUGAGAGGUGGUGUACUCUUACAUUGUUGUUUCUAAGAGGUGGUGUACUCUUACGUUGUUGUUCUAUAAGAGGUGGUGUUAUAAGAGGUGGUGUACUCUUACGUUGUCGUAUUAUAAGAGGUGGUGUACUCUCACGUAGCUGUAUUGUAAGGUUGACGUUGUCGUCGUUGAAUCGUUGAAGUUGUUGUUGAUGACAAACCAUGGAAUAUUAAUGAUUAUGUUGUGUUUAUAUUAUUAUAAGAUGAUGAUUAUGUUGUUGUUUAUAUUUGUUAUGAGUUAAUGAUGAUUAGAAGUGGAUUGGACUAUUGAUGAAGCACUAUAUGAAGAAUUAUUAUUAUUAAUUAAUAAUGUUUAUGUUGUUAAAUUUAAUUGUUGAAUUAUAUGCUUAAUAUUAUUGUUUGUGAAAUCUCACCCCUUCUGCUUGGAAAUGUUGCACUUCGUAUGAGUAACUUGCAGGUGAUCGAGAAUAAGUAGCUGUUGAUUGCUGUCGUGAGUGGCUAUCUCUCACUGUGUCUUUAGGUACUUUGAUACGUAACGGAAUGUGAACUGUUGUGGCUAUUUUCUAUUCCUUACCUAUUGCUUAUGAUUUUACAUGACUAUGAUUUAGUUUGGAUUUUUAUGAGAUGUUAUGAUAAAGCCUUCGUGCCAAAGACUAUUUUAGUUGUUGAUUUUUAAGAAGUGUAACAUUCCGUUUAUGUGGAAAACUCUGAUUAAUUGUUAUGAAAUUUUUAUGUUGGAAAAACGGGGUGUUACAGGUCCUAACUCAAUGGAUUGAUUACGACUAUUUUGUUAAUUAUCGUAAAACUAGAGACUCAUUCACAAGAAUAGGUGCGGUAUACCAAUUAGGGGAACAUAGAUGAUUCGAAAGACCUAAACUCAUCUCUCUCUUAUUCUUAAAACCAAUCUUUAUUUUUUGUUAUUGCUUAUGCAAAUAAACCAAUCAACUGCCUAGUGGCAAAUCAAAAUAACCUUUAUACAUCUUAAUUUACAACGUAAUUGAAUUAUUAAGAUUAAAAUCAGACCUUAUGGGCACGAUAUUUUUACUACUUCGGUAAUAUUUAGUACAAUUGCCAAAACUCUAUCAUGCACCAUAAAUUUUGCCGAUAAUUCAUAUAUUUAACUUUUAGUACACUACAUCAAAUUAAUAAAAUAUCGAAUAACAAUUGAAUAAAGGAGACAAUGAGUUUCUCUUAUCUUAGUAAAAAACAGAUUGAGAAUUUUGGAUUGAAACCUUAUAAACUUUUAUUUUAACGGCAAAAAUUAAUUAUAAGAUAUGAGAGAAGUGGAACAUUUUUCAACUCCGUUGGUUAAGAUCAUAGAUAAAGAAAUCAUGAGUAUUAUUAAAAAAUAAAUGUUAUUUGAACCCCUAUUUUUUGGAUAACUUGUGCAACAAUUUAAAUAUACAAAAAAAUCCUGACCAAAAAACAAAAAUACAAAAAAAAAAAUUGUGAGUGUUGACACAAAAAAUAAAGUAAUAGAGAGAAAGUAAAAAUACAAUACAAAUAUAAUUUUCUUGGUGCAUUCUUGUUUUUUCCGGUGGUUGCGUCGGCGGCUGGGUUUUUUCAAUAUCGUAGCUUGCGGUUGUGGUGGUUUCUUCUAUUGCGCGGGCGUUUAGACUUUGAUUUUUGGAGAUGACUUCUUGGUUUGGUGUUUAGUCUCUAUUGGUUUCGAGAGCCCUUCGAGGAGGGUGUUUUUGGUUUAUUUGUAGAAGUUUAUAUUUGAUACAAGGUGUUUGUUUGUGUAUUCCGUAUAUAUACGACACAAUUUUCAUGUGUAUGUUGUUUUUUAAGUCUCCUAACCUAGCAUUUCUUGUGUUUGCUAGGAUUCUUUGUGUUUUAAAUAAAUUUCAUUUUAGCUUCUUCAAAAAAAAUUAUAAUAUAAGAGAGGAAGUUGUCACAAAAUUAUCAUAAAAUGGUUAUUCUUUGUGGUGUCAUUGUCAAAAGUGACCUUUUUUUUGUCUAGUGACUAGAGCUCACACAAUUAAAUAUGGAGAAGUGGGGUGUCGAGGGUUCGAAUCCCGACCCUUGCAUAAAUUAUGCAAUAUCCCUACCAACUGAGUUAAGCUUACGAUAACGUCAAAGUGAUAUUUUAACCCUUAGAAAAGUUCUAUUUCAAUAUUUCAAACUUUAUUUUUUUUUGUUAGUUUUAGUGUUUUUUUUAAUAAUAUUUUUAUAAUGGUAAAUUCAUAGUCAGACUAUAUAAAAAGAGAAUAAUUUAACUAAAAAAAACUAGUAAAUAAAACUCCACACUAAUUCUAAAAUUUAUUUAAAAAAACUCGAAAUCUAAAAAAAGAAAAACAUUUGGAACGAGGUUUUAAUUAACCGCUGUGAAUAAUGAAUUUUUAGAUUAUUAUAUUAAGGAGAAUGUUAACCAGUAACCCCGACAUUGGUUAAGCACCAAAUAAAGUAAUUUUUUACCAAAAAAUAAUGUAAUUAUUACUAAUAAAAAAUGAUAGUUUAUAUUUUCAAAACAGAAAAUUUUAUUUAUAAAUUACUGAUUAACAUGACCCUUAUAGCAAAAUUAACUUGUGAAUAAUGUGAUAAUACCAUAUUUUUUGUUAAGUUAAUGCAAACACGGCUCAUCAAUGCAAUGUAAAAAGUAAGUAAAAGUAGAAGAUCCGUCGUACGGUCAGCUGAUAAAGUUAAACUGUAUCUAUUGCAUGAUUCAACUAAAAGAUAAAAAAAAAAUCCUUUUAGAUUAGUUCUCCAACAUGGUACAAACCUACAUCUCCGGAAAAAAAAUGGUACUUAAUUUCUACUAAACUAGAUUUACAAUCUAAACCCACAAAGAUUCAUUCUUGGGGAAGUUUCUUGAGGUUGGAGUCUCACUAAAAUAGGAACCUCAUACAAACACUAAUAUUUAUAUAUAUAGAGAAAAGAAAUAAAGGAGAUAGUGAGAGAAGCAGUGAAGCAGCUUCAUCUUUUGGUGUUAUCUCCCUCAAAAAAAAGAAGAAGUUUUUUUCAUCUAUCUUAGCAUUGAAGUAAGAGACUCAAAAACAUCUUGGUUGCAUGGAAUGGUAAGACCCAUGUCAUGAUCAAACCCAAACUCUUCUUCUGCUUGAUGAAGAAGGUUUUGAAACUCUGGUCUACUUAGAAAAGCAAUAGGAACAAUGUACCUGCUUCUGUUUUCACCAACAUAUACAACAAAGUGACCUUUUGGAACAUCCAAACGAAGACCAUGAUGAUCAACGUACCCUUGUUGUUUCUUGCCUAGACUUGAACAUCUUUUAAGGAUUUGUUUGAUGAGUGCUGUUUGAGGAAGUUUAGUUGAUUUUCUUAUAGCCAUUGUUGUGGAUUUGGUGUGACAAGAGAAAGAGAAGAGAAGAUUGUGUUGUGUUGAAGAUGGAGAGGUGUGUGAAUGAGAAAAGAACGUGGUGGGUAUUUAUCAUGAGAAUAGCUUAGGCAGGAGAUAGAAAAAACGGAGUCAUGUGGGGUUGUAAGGACUAAUCACAGAGUCUAGGACUCUUUUUUAGUGCCUCUAGGAGCCAACCUAUUUUCGUUUUACACCCCCUCUUGUUGCUUUUCCAAACAACAUCUUGGUCCCCCAUUUUUCUCUCUCUCCCUAUUGAAUUUUUGUUUUCUAACUUUUUUUUAAUUAUAAAGGAAUGGGGUUUUCUAACUUUUCUUUAACUAUAACUUGUCAAUAUAUAUCAUAUAUAACAAUAAAUUUCAGCUCUGUACGGACGAAAUAUCCUACCAUUACAAUUAUAUAUAUAUACAUAUAUAUAUAUAUAUAUAUAUAUAUGCAUGACGAGAUAUCCUAAACAAAAUUAUAAAAACAUUUGAUCAUGUUUAAAUUUUAAUGUGUAACUUUUGUAAAAUUAUACUAAUUUAUUGUGAUUCUGCUACAUAAUCAAACAUAUCUUAAUUUAUGAGAUCAAGAUCGGAUGAUACACAUUCUGUAUUCAUCAAUCAAAUUUUAAAUACAAGCUUAACUUAUGGAUGUUGGAUUUUGAUCAAAUCACCAAAUUAUGCUGAUUUUAGAGAUGGAGCAUUCUGAAUGCAUAUAAUUUAAUUCCAUAUAAAACCUACUAAUACCUAGAAUUAGAAGUGAAAUUUGAAAAUUAUUUGCAAAUUCAAAUUUAAGUUUGAUUAAAUAAUAGUUAUGUAGAAGAAUGGUGUUUGGAUGUGUUGAUUUUGUUUCUCAACGUCAAUUUGACUAAAAUUGAAACAGUGAAUGUUUAUUGUUUAGUAACACGAUGAAUUUGUUAAAAUAGCGGGGAUCCUGCACCACUAGCUCAAGAGUCUCAAGAACAUAAACAUUUGAAUCCAACCUAGAUAAGCAACUACAGUGAGAUCUCUCUUUCCAAUCCAAAGUGCAUGGAUUCAAUUUUGUUUAAGAAAUCUGAGUUCAAUUCUGCUUAGACAGAUAGAAACAAAUUAUAUUCAAAAAAUAAAUAAAAUAUUUAGUCACCAUUCCUUCCUGCCUUGCCAUUUUUCCACUUAAUUUUUUUUUCUUUCCAUAGCUAGACGUACGGUUCUCACAAGAGGAAGCAUCCGAGCAAUUUCCAAAGUUGAGUUAAACCAGCUUACCAGCUAUUGUUUAUGGGGAAAGUCCAUUUUUUGCAAUAAGGAUGAAAGUAAACGGUGAAUCAAUGUAUACCAAACCAACCGAAGCAAUUUAGGUACCUCAAGAAAGCAACCCCACCCCUAAACUUUUUUUCUUAAAGGAAUGCAAAAGCUCUAAUGCUAAGUGUCUCACAUCGAAUAGGACAUGAUCUGACAAUGUGUUUAUAAGUUGAGACAAUCCUUACAUCACAAGCCGAUUUUGUGGAAUGUAAUAAUAAUAUUUUUAAAGUCAAGUAUAAGUAUAUAUCCGUACGAGUCCCAACAACACAGUUUUCGUCCCCUUGAUCAAUUUGAAAGAGCAGAAUUUGCCUUGUCUCCUACUAUUCAGCCAUUUUUCACAGUUUUCCGCUUUCUUGUUCAAACCAUUGGGACUCGUGGUAUACACAUGACUUGCAGCUUUCACAGUUUCACAAGUUUCAAUUAUCUAAUCAUCAUCAGCUACAAUACGAUUUUAACAACGUCUAUCACACUAUUUUUAAAUAGGAAAAUGUUAACCGGUGUACUUAGAUACUCAUCAAGAUUAUAAAGAAAAUAUUUUCUUGAAAAGUUAAAACAUUGCUCUUUUCAAUGCAAAUUAUAUUUUUUCUUUUUACUUUUAACUUCAGGGCACCGAUUUGGAACAGAGGGAGUAAUAUAUAAUGUCAUAGCAGUAUUUUAUGGGUAAACUCAAUUCUAUAAUCAUUAAUUAAUUGAUAGUGGUACAUGUAUUUACAUAAAAGUGGAUUGAGUGAGCACUAUAGCAGAAAAAUUAAAAAGAGGAAAAGUCUAAGGUAGGGAUUUAUCCUCUUGAGAAAACAUGAGAAUAUAAAAUUGGAGAGAAUUUCCUCCCAUUUCUAAGGGCCUUGGCCCUAAGAAAUAUACAAAGGUCGUGCGUGACUCAUGACAUAUUUUAUUGAGAAAUAAUGGCUUCAAAAGAAAGAAAAUCAAAUUUUAACACAUUACUUAUAAGAGCAUUUAUCACGGAGACAUCAAUUUUUAGGUACUUAAAUGAGUUCCACACGUACAUAUCACUUAUUUAUAGUAAUUUUUAAUAGUUGUACAUAAUAAGACUCAAUUUUUCCAACUCAUCAUUUCACACAAAUUUGUUAAAUGAGACAUACUAAUCAACUAUCAAUAACUUUAUAUCAUUAUCUUUAAUUUUUUUAAUAUUAAAAGAGUGAGGCUCCCGUUUAAGAUUGAGGAUCUUAAGUGAGACCCGAGUAUUAUAAUACCCCGAAAAAGAUUCUCUCCAGUAAGAAUACCUAAUAGAUACUGAGUCUUAAAUAGUUAAGACCCUUCGAUUGAAGAUGAUGUAACCAAGGCUCAAAGCACAUGGUCAAAUGUGACUUUUCCACUUUAUACAUAUCUUGUAUGUUUUCGCAAAUAUAAACUCCCAAAAAAGGUACAUUAGAUAAAGUUCAAUUUGGCAAGACCAUUUUUGAAUUUAUAACUGAUAGUUUAUAGCUUAUAAGCUCAUACGACCAAAAUUAACUUGCACGGUAACAAUAUUUUUUCACCGGCCUAUUAUGUAUUUUUUAUAAGUCACUUUUAAUAGUUUUUUUUAAGUAAUAGUUUUUGAGCUUAAAACUUACUCUUUAUUAUAUAUUAUUUUCAACUUUACUUUUACUAUCUUAAUUGUAAAAAAAUUAAUAUUAAUUUAAAUAUAUUUUUAUGUUAAUUUUUAUUUGUCAACUAAUUCAACUGUCAAUUUCAUCUAACACUAUAUAAAUUUAAUCUUUUAGCUUAUCCCUUGUAUAUUCUGAACUUUCCAAAACUUAGAAUUAUCUGCAAAUUCGUCCUAAACACUCGAGUUCGAACACAACUAACUGGACCUCUUUGUGCCAAUACUUCCAACAGUUGUCGGUUUCAUCAAACGAAACACGUCGUUCGUAACAUCCUCUACAUCUAUAUCUUCAAUCGCAUAAAUAGGUCAUUGGACCACAACACAAGGUACACACACGCUUUUCAAUACCCUGUCACUAUUUUUUUUGAUACUGACUUGAACGUCAGAAUGUUUAGAGGUAUCCACAUACUUAACUACUUGACGGAAUGCCACUUUAUCGCUUAGUAUCACCUUAUUAGCGAACUUUUUGGUUAUUCGAUAUAAAUUCAUUCCUUAUAAGAAAGUGGAUAGAUCAUUGUAAAAGAUUCAGUUGCAUAUCACCACCGUCAACAAAACAAUCAAACAAGUUAUCAUUAUUACUACCUAUUUUUUGUCUUGCUAAAUUGUGCAUACUUGGUAACUAAAUUCUCCGAACAACGACUUCAUGUCGUCAAACAAAUUCUUUUAUGUACAAUUAAUUGACAGCAUAUAUAUAAAAAAUCGAACGGAUGAAAUUAGAAUUAUCAAAAUAAUUAAGCACCCCCAAGUGGCCUAUAAAUCCCAGCAUGCAGAGAAGGUACAACUACAAGGAAUUAUUGAGUUGAGGCGUGAGUACAUACACAUGCAGCUCAUCUUUAUUAAUUGUUGGGUUGUGACAGAUGAAUACAAUAUUUCACAUGCACCAUUCACCCUUUUCCACUAGCAUUUUUCUCACAAGGUACGGUUUUGGUCCUUCUUUAACAUGCUCCAAAACAGGGGAGAUAAAUAUAAGGGGACAAAAAUGGUACUCAUCAUAGUUAUAUUCGUGUCCUUUGCACUUUAUAUUAGAGCAUAUAAAUUAUAUAAGUCGAUGAGCAUGUAUCUUAAUUUUUCGGUUUAUUGGAGAAAAUUGAUGUAGCAAAGUGACUAACAUAAAAAUUAAUGAAGUAUCUUAAAUAAAAUAUAGUAUCAUAGAAAUUAACAUUUGAAUUUGAGACAACAUUGAGUAGAAAUAAAAAAAAAUAAAUAUAGAAAAAAAAUGGGUUGGAUAAUUAUUUACGAUUAAAGCAAAAUGUGUACGAGUUAGGUAAAGUACUAAGUAUGAUGUAACAUUGUAAGACCAUCUAUUUGUAGUCUAUAAAACCCAAAAUAAAUUCCUUAAAAAAAUAAUCAUAGGAGAUCCUCUUACAAAUUAGAAAUUACAAUAUAUAUAUAUAUAUAUAUAUAUAUAUAUAUAUAUAUAUAUAUAUAUAUAUAUAUAUAUAUAUAAUUGUAAUGCCAGCUACCCAAAAAGAUCGCAGCAAUCACAGAGAACUUAAAUGGCCUUAUUUGUUUUAUUUGGUAAAAAUGGAUAACAUAACAUAUGCUUCAUAGAAACAUAACUGUAACAAACUUUGUGUAUGGGCUCUCAUUGUUUCUUCCUUCUUGGGUUACUGCAGCAGGAUGUAUACUGUCGCAGGCAUUGAGUCCCCCCCGAUGGACCACCUUAGAUUUUCUCAAGAUAAAAUUUAAUGAAACUUACUUAUAUGUUUUUUUCCUUUUUAAUUAUAUUCAUCUUUUGGGCUGUUUCAAGGUGAAAUGCGCCUCAAAUACAAGUAAAGAUAAAAGUUUAGUAUUUUUUUUUUUUUUUUUUCUUUCUGACAAGAGAUAAAAGUUUAAUAUUUCUACUCAUAUAAAUUUUUCUUAUCGGAUCCGUCUACAUUACAAUCAAACGGAUCUUUAACUUUUAGGAGAAAACUAUUGUCAUAUUGAAGUAUAUACAAUGUACAGGAAGCUUUUAUGUACAGCUAUAUUUAAUCUUUUUACUAGCUAACAUAAGAGAAUACAGUUGGAAUGAACUAACCUGCAACGAACUAAUCAGAAGUUAAACUAACUUAUAACAAAUUUAUAAUACUAAAAUUUACACACACAACAAAAUUAAUUAAUAUUGGGUGCGGAAUAUAUGCACAUGCAGUACUACUCCUCAUCCCACAUUUAGAAUGCAUAUUAUAAGAGAUAAGGGAUUGGCUGCAUACAAUGUGGUCCUCGUUCUAUCUGCAAUAUAUUAUAUAUAUAUAGAGAUAUAGCAGAAUGAUAGUCAUAUUCAGAUAUAAAUUUUGGUCGAUAAAAUAUUAAUUGGUAGAGAAUCAUAUUGAUAUGGAGGAUUGGUAUUUCUAUCUGCAGAAUUAACUACUAGCUAGUUAGACAUUUUUGUUUUUCAUUCAAUUCCCAUGUUCUAAGGUCAAUAUUAAUCCCAAAUAUAUACAAUCUCAUCAUGUACCUAAUGCAACCGCGUCUUGUUCUUUGUUCUUCUCUUCCUCUCAUUGCAUUUAUACUAGCAUUAAUUAAUGAACUUUGAUUCUCAAUCACUAAUUUAUUACAUACAUAUUUUCAUAUCUCAUAAUCAACCAGUACCCUAGUUGUACGUACAUGUACAUGUGUGUAUGUCUAUGAAAAGGCAUAGCAUGUGAUAAUCUAUCAUACAUUUGCAUACCCCAAUUUCUACACGAGUCAUUCUCACAUUGGUAGCUUAGAUUAUACAUCACAACACGGUCCCCUAUAUUUAUUUUCCCCAAUUUUUUAUUUUGUCUAAAUUACAUAUGAUACCAUAUAGGGUCGUUACAGUUUUCAAAUGUGGAGCCGGGUUUGUGUACAUUUUCAAUAACCACUAAAAAAGGUAAGUUGACCAAAACAUAGUAUUCAACAUUGUUGCUAAUCUAGCUGAGAGAGUAAUUCUAGAUGGAAUCAAAGAUUUUAUACACAACUUCAACGAAAGCAAUAUCAGUUUUGUACACAAAAUUGGUUUAUAAGUUGUUGCAAAUCACAUAUGAAAGAGAUGAAGAUUCAUCUCUAAGAAAAAAUAAACUAAAGUUUUAAUAUAGAUGAUUUUUUUUAGAAUUCAUAUUAAUUGACCGAUAAAAGAUGGUAAAUAAAUCCAUUAAUGGAUAGAGCUAGCAAAACUCUAACUACAUUUUCUAAUUUUUAUAUAUCUAUUAUAAGAUGAAGAUUGUUCACCACUUGGAUUUAACUUAGUGUGAGUUUAGCAAUGAGUUUGCCCACCGUAGGAGCAUUAGCAUUUUAACAUUGAAAUAUAGAAGCUACAAAAUGUAGCUUCAAUCAAGUGAUUUGUCGUAUAUGCCUUAAAAUCAUAAGUCUGAGUUCUGCCUAUCUCGCGAUGCAGAUGCUGAAAGGAUUGCAGGGAGCCAAGAUACUGCUUAGCUCGCGAUGCGGAUUAGAAAGCUCGAGAUGUGGAUGAGCGAGUUUUCUGUUUUCUUGGUCGUCAAGUUUUCAUAGCUGGAUGAAUCUUAUAAAUAGGAAGCUCGUGUUUAGGGUUUGAGAGAGUGGAAAAAGGCAAUCCAAGAGAGAUCAAAAUAGGGAACCUUUAGGAAAUCAAUGGGCUAAAGAUCGAGGACUUUUGGGAUAAAUUCUAAGGUUUGGAAACACCAUUCAAACACCUUGGGUGUGAUAACGAUUGAGUCUCUUUGCCACAGGAAGAGCUUUGGAAAAAGGGUAGAAAUUAGGGUUGGAGGCUGAUUUCUUGUGACCCUUUGUAUCUCUACGUAAAGUUACUCUCAUGAUUAGUGAAACAGAGCUGUGUCAAUUUGGACCCAGAGUAUGUCGAUUUAGACCGAACUAUAUAAACAAAUAUCUUUGUAUUGUUAUUCUCCUUCUCAUUUUAUAGUACUCUAUUGUUUGUGCUUGUUUAAUCACUUUGGUUUUGGUUGCUGCUAAUUUUACUCCUCAAAUCAUUAUUUUCGUGUGAGUUUUGAUAUGAAUUCACAACAUGAUUAUUGAGUUUCCCCGAAGGGCAAACCGUUUGGUAAAGGACAAAACAUAUACUUAACUCAAUUUCUACAAAACAGGGGAUUGUAAAAUGAGAAGUACUUGCCAAUUAUAAAUACAUUUUAAGAUUUUAUUUUCAUUCAAUGUGAGAAUAUGAAAAACGGUGGUGCCUGACUUUUUUGUAUCAUCAAACAUUUUCCUUUCAAUUUAUGUCGUCGUUAUAAUAAUCUUCAAUUUCACUUAAGUACUCCACCUACUCUUCAUAUUCUCAACAAACAUGAUUAAUUGGACGAUUGAGGUGCAGGUUGCAUAUAUAACAUGAUGAACCGUUAACUUUGUUUGAAUUCAACUCCAAUUUCAUUUUGCAUUCCAUAUAUAGAUGACUAUAUUAAAAUUAGUAUUUUAUUUAGUGAAAAAUAUAUUAAUUAUUAGUUUUGGAAAAACCUUUAUUGACCAUAAAUCUUCUAAGAAUGGUAAGUUACAUAUAUGAUUAUUAGAAAGAAAGUCUCAAAGUCUUAAAUGUGAAACUGUACUGGUCCAUCAUGUUGGUUUAUCACAGUCUUUAAAAGAGACUACCCAUGUUCUGUGAACGAGAUUUGUUAGUAUCUGGUAACAACAGUGAAACUAUCUAACAAAAAUGAGGUAUAUAUUCAAGUGAAUAUGUGACCCUACCAAACCAGUUACCACACCCUCCACCACGGAACAAAGAAAGUGACCACUGACCAGUAUAAUUUAUUUCUUCUAGCUAAUUAAUUAACCGUGGUAGUAAAAACAUACAACAACCUUAUUACUAUUAGCCCUUCUCUGUUUCUAAGCACAUGUAGCCCACGUUACUUUUUUUCAGUUUUUUGCAUUCAUCAAAAGCUGAGAGGACAUAAACAAUUGCCACAGUACCAACUACUUUCUACAAUUCACCAAACAUCAUUGAAAGCCUACGGUUAUAGCUUUCCCUAAUUUAUAGCAAAAACAAGCUAGAAAAAAACUGACCUACAACUCUACUUGUUUUGCUUAUUUUAGAAAUUCAAAAACACAAGUUAGCAGCAACCAACUUAAAUUAUUUGGGACUAAUGUGUUUUUAUAUUUAACUAAAGAUGGAACUAAUAUAUGAUCAAAUAGCUAUCAUUCAGUAUUGGUUCAACAAUAACAAUAAAUGUUAGACAUACACAUACACUUUAAUUAAUCAAAUACAUCUGGAACAAACAACAAUAAUGGAUUGAUCAAACAUGUUUAUACCGUUAAAAAAAAAAAAUGUUGUACACCGACGAUGAUGUCCCAUUUUCAUGUAUAUGACUUAAUACUUCAACAACCAAUCUCUUACCCUAAUGUUGAGUCUAAUAAGUAAUAAUAUUAAUUAAGUGUUGAAAACAGUAGUCGAAGACUUAUUAAGGAAAACACUAGAGUAGGUACAUACAUAACUUUAUUAUCUUGGAGGGAAAUAAAAUUGGACCCAUCACAGCUCAACUAAGAAAUCACGAGCACCAAAGGACUUUACGGAUGUACCUCUAACGUGCACAGCCCACAUGUGCUUCUGCUGCUGCAUGACACGAUCAAAGUGAAGUAUAUAAAUACAUCAAUAUAUCAACAUCAAAUUUCGUUAUUUUGCAACACAAAAACUAUUUAAUCCUUAUUAUAUGCUCAGAGGGUCCAAUCCAGGGUGGAAAUUAAAAUUUGUUGUACCUACAAAUAGUUUGAACUUUUAAUUAGUUUUAAAAUAGAGAAUGGUAAGUAUUGAGUGGUACAAUACAAAGUUGGUAGCUUCCGGUGGGACACUAAGCAUGUUAGGGUGUGUGACUUCACAAAACCAUAAUUUUUGUUAACUAGUAAAAGAUUACAUGUUUAAGUACUUAAGAAUAUUCCAUCAAAAUAAAGUACUUAGGAAUAUCGAGUAUGAACUUAGAAAUAGGGUUGGAAAUAGGCUAGGCUUUGAUAGGUCUGAGUCUGGCCUACAAAAAAAUUUGCAUAAAGUACUUAGGAAUAUCGAGUAUGAACUUAGAAAUAGGGUUGGAAAUAAGCUAGGCUUUGAUAGGUCUGAGCCUGGCCUACAAAAAAAUUUGCAGGUCUGAGCUUGGCCUAUGGCCUUUCAUAGACCUAUUUUUUUGGUUUAAAAGUCUGGUCUGGCCUGAAAGCCUAUUUACAUGCCUACUUACUAUUAAAGUCACUAAAUAUUUCAUUUUAUCUACUUUUAAAUAGGCUUAAUAGGCAUCAAAGCCUAUUUCAGUGUAAGACUUGUCUAUCACUACUAUAAGGCCUUUAAAGCCUAUUUCACUAUAAAGCUUUAAAGCCUAUUUAAAAAAUCCACUAUGAAGCCUAACAUGCAUAAAGAGGCCGGCCUAUUAGGCUUCAUAGGCUUUUUUGAUAGCCUAAGCCUGACCUAUUUACUUAAAUAGGCUUUUUAAAAAACCUAAGCCUAGUCUUUUUAAUAAACAGGCCAGGCCAGGCCAUAGGCCCCUGUAGGUCGGCAUGGCCUAUUCCCAACCCUACUUAAAAAUACUUUUGAAAUAAUUUAAAUAGAAUAGAAUUGAGAUGGAAUGCAUAUCUGUGUUCAAAUAAUUUAGAAAAAAAAAAUGGUGCCUAUCAAAUUGGUAGUUAUCUACUUAUCUUCAAUGUAUAGAACCAAACAUUAAGUGUGUUCUUACGUCAAUAAAAAGAAGUUAAUACCUCAAAUAGCUUGUGUAAUUUAAACAAUGUCUUUUUUUUUGUUACAAAGGCAAAAGAAAAACAAAAAAAAAAAACACAAAAGAAAACAUGAACAACAGCUAGCCACGGGGGAAGUAAGUUCCCCAAGCAUCAUUCUUUAAGAGAGGAAGCAAUCCAUCAGGGGUGGCGGCAUGAAUAGACAAGGCUGAGUCCACGGAAGCUCCCAAUUUAACAAGAAAAUUGGCGCAGCGGUUCCCCUCACGAAGAGUGUGCAAUAUAGGAGUGUUUGAAAGUCGAAUCAGAUCAUUGAUGUCUUGGAUAAGAGUGACAUACGCAUGAUAGACCACUGUAGGUCCGUUGAUGAGGUUGAAGCAGUGGAGAGAGUCAGUAUAGCAUACAACAUCAACAAUGUUCAAGUUUUUAGCUAGCUGCAACCCCAUAAGAAUAGCAUGUAAUUCAGCAAACAAAAUGCCAUUCGAGUGUUCUAUAUGACCAGAAAAACCAGAGGUGAAGAAAUCAGAAUUGUUUCUUAUAAAACCCCCAAAGCCGGUUCAAUGAGGAGAACCAAGGCAACUCCCGUCCACAUUGAUAAUGAAGCAAGAAUGAUUGAUGAGAAGAACCAGAAUUUAAACAAUGUCUGAGAAUAAAGAAUAAAAUCUGUAAAAAUGAAAAUACAGGUUUCCCUCAUAUAAUUUUAGAUUCUUAACUUUUUAUCGGGACUAUUUUCAAACAUUUUAGGAUGCUAUUUUCAAAGUUAGUUCAAAUAUUUUUUUAAUAGGCGAGGGUAAAAUAUAAAGAACUUAAAAUUAUAAAGAUGAAGCAUGUAUUUUUAUUUUUACAAAGACCAUUUUUAGGCCUCGUCAAAAAAGAAGUUUGUUCAUGCAUCUUUUGAAAUUUUUUUAAUUUGUGCCCUUACGACAUAAAUUAAGAUAGUAUAAAUGUAUUUUUUUAGGGAUAUAAAUUUUUUUUUUUUAAUUUGUACAUUUAAUAUUCUAAGAGUUUAAGAUUUAUCUUUUUAAUAUAAAAUUUGUCUUUUAAUUUUAUUUUUAACUUCUUAACUUGUGAUCUUAGAAAACAAUCUAUCACGACUCUUGUUGUUAACUUCUUAACUUGUAAUCUUAGAGCAUAACUUGCUAAAUGAUUCGAGUAAUAAAUCACAUGAGUGUGUGUGAGAGUUAUUUGGAUUUUGUAAUGCCUCCAAAUACAAAUAGUGUUGAAGCUGGUAGAAAUUUUACGAGGCCAAGUACAAAGAAAAAUAACAAUUUUUAAUUCUUAAGUCAAUAUUUUCAGUUUCUUUUUGUCAGGCACACAUGUUAUUAUUAUUAAAAAAAUGUAGUUCUUUUUUUGGAUGAAUAGUUAAUCAGAACUCAAGUUCGAUUUUUGGUGGGAAGAAUUUUUGAUCAAACCCUCUAAAAACCGGAUGUUAACACCACAAAAAUUAUUAUUAUUGUUUUCUAAGAAAGCACACACGUUAAUUUGGAGAAACGUAACAUUCACAACAACUACUGAAUUUAUUUCCACCUAAAUUAUCAAACCUAAUUCAAUGUAACUUAAGAAAAGAGGGCGAUCAUAUAAGUAGUCACUGAAAUUGUAAAUAGCACGUGAUUAGGUGAUUUCAUAACCUAGUGUAAACAAAAUCAGUGAAUGACUAAAAUUUGCCAAGUAUGGCUCCACAAUUUAAAAUGGCUUUUGUCUAAAAUGACCUGUACCUACAUUUUUUUGUCGAACAAGAAAACAAUCUACAUUUUCAAACACAUAAUUAUGAAGGGGAUUCAUAAAUUUAAACAGUAUAUAGAUUAUAGAUAUUUUUUAAAAGAACUAAUUAAGGUUAAGGACACAUCACAUGUGAAAUAUAUAGAUUAUAUAUUUUCCCUCGUUAAAAAAAAUACAUAUUUUCCACUCAAAAGUUAUAUUGGGGUGAUGCAAGAGGGAAGAUUGUUGAUUAUGUUGGGGAUUUGAAGCUUGAUGCUUUGAUUAUGGGUAGCAGAGGUUUGGGUGUCAUACAAAGGUACUACUACCUUGGUUUGUUUUCCUUUUUGUUUGUGUUUUUUUUUAUUGAAAUAUGCUUUGGUUAUGGGUUGCAGAAUAAAAUAUCGGAAUUGCUUCCCUGUGCGGUUGCAUUACUCUUUUCUAAGCCAUUAUUUCAUAUCUAGGCAAUCAAAAGGUUGUAUGAUUUAAUUGUAACGACAUUUUAUUCUUUCUUUUUUUUUCUUGAUAUUUGACGAGCCUUACUAACCUAAUCUGAACUUUCCUUCAACAAAAAAAAAAACCUAAUCUGAACUUUGUGGCAAAUACUCAUUUAUAUGAUUACUAAAAAAAAAUUGACUUUAAAAUUUCAUAUACAAUUUUUGCAUUGGUAAUUUUAAUUUGAGUUAAUUUCAAUCGGAGUUAUUGCAUUGGAAUUAUGUGUAAUCAAGCCAUUAUUAUACACGAUUUUAUUUUGAGACUUGAAUUCCUGUAUUUCUUUCAUUUUAGUUCAUGCGUAGUGUAUCUUUGAAAGUCGUAGAUUGAUCAAUUUUUGACAUUUGAUUAUGUAUUUUCUGGCAACAAUAUGUUGUCGUUAAGCAACAUUAAUCCAAUGUAUCCGGCGCACCAGCAACAAAUUAACAAUCCAUGAUUCGAUUACCUUAUUAUUCAAUUACGAUAUUGGUUGUUAUUUGUGCAGUAUGUCUGCCAUUGCGGCGAUUUUCAAUCUGAUGUUUUUUAUUUAUUCAUAAUGCCUAUUAUAUGUUUGGUACUUGACAUUGUACAUGAUUACACAACCUUAUUUUUAUCUCAUUGUUUAUUACAUCUACACUGGUAUCACUACUUCGUAUCGUUAAGUAUAGCUAAUUUACUAAAUCUCUGUGAAGCGAUAACUGACAAGAUAUUUUCGUUGCAACAUACUCUAUUAAACGAGUGGAAGAAGCAUCAGAUUAAAACCUUACACUGCAACUCAUUGUAUCUACUAAAUGCUUGGAAACUAUGUUAAUUAUGCAAUCAGUUCAGCUUCUGUUUUGAAGUUUGGUGACCGUUAAACCAUGUAGUUACAGUGCACAUAGUAUUUGCUGCUAAACUUUGUCACUUAAUGCUGAACAGGACGCUAUUUGACAUCUUAGUAUAGUCAAUUGCUUACUGAUCUCUGUUAUGUUAUCAUUCCGAGCAACCUUCUAUGAACACCGUACCUUAUUAUAAUCUCAUUUCUUAUCAAUCAUAACUUCCUAUCUGUUACAUAUAGCUAAUAUUCUAAUUUUUUUUAGAAGCAAGAACUGAUGCAAUUUUUCACAGCCAGAUAAACUAAUAAAUGAGUAGAUUUGUCAUUUGAUGUCUACCUUACAAUUCGGAUCAUUGUGUAUAAUUAGCUACAAUGAAACCAUGUUAUCUUAUCCAUCAGUGCAUCUAAUAUCUUAAAUUGCGGUGACUGUUAAACCAAGAUUGCAUUUACAAGGCACACAAUGCAUUCAAAUAAACUUUGCCUAUUUCUCCUGGAAAGGAAAUUUUUCGACAUCUUAUUGUAGUCAUUUCAUAACUGAUCUCUAGUUAGUUAUUAUUCAAAUCAUAAUUCUAUGUUUCCCUAUGUAGCGGCGACUAUCCAAAAUGAUUCAGAUAUUCGUUUUGAACACCUAUUUGAAAACUAAUCUGUGUUGUGCACAAACUGCCAUAUAUUUAAUGUCAGUUUCAACAAAUGAAGCACCUGUAUCUGUUAGUAUAUAGUGGAGAUGGUUCUCAUAUCUUAGAUUGCGGCGAAUUUUUGAAUCAUUCAAAUUUGUUGUUCAAACUAAAGACACAGGCCACACAUAUGUUUAUGCUCUGUAUGAAAUUAUGACUUAAUGAUGUCUAUACAUGGAUAACACUUCCAAUGUUAUUUACACAAACAUUGUAUUUGCACAAACAGAUUAUGAAUUAACAGUAUAAUUGAAUGUUUUGUUUUACAUCAAUAUGAUCCGUGCGGCAGCACGGGUGCAAGGUCCAGUUUAUGAACUAAAAUUUAACUGCAGUUUCCAAAAGCUAAGACUAUUAUAAGAUCCAACCAUUUUUACAAUUUCAAUUUUAUACUUAUUAUUUUUACUAGUAACUAAUAAGUAUAUCUAAUCCCCUAAAAAAAAUCUAAUUAAAAAAAUGCAAUGAAAUGGGUAUAAGCCAAGAGAUCAUAAACUAAAGACAAGAGGAAUUUGUUUUUCUCUCUUUCAAAAUAGCUCAUUCCCUUAAUUAUGCACAACGUGAUUUAAUUCACGUUGGAUUUUUUUUAACAUGAGUUAACUCACGUUGGACAUUUUUCUGCGUGAGUUAACUCACAAAGACACUUUUAGGAAAUCAUAUAUUGCUUAUGGAAAUUUUAGGGAAUACAAGACUGAUGAAAGCUUGCCCUUGAAACUCGGCACAAAAUCACAUCGGCUAAAAAUAGCGUGCACGAAAAAUCAAUAGGGUGGGAAAAGAAGCCGUCCUAAAACUUUGCUAGAAUAUAUUUAGAGACCUUGCGCCCAAAACAUCCCUUGCGCCCAAAACAUCCCUUGCACUGGGCUCAAUGGCCAAAUUGAAACUAAAAUGAAAAUUGCUCUUCUCCCAUCCAAUAUUGCUCCCUCCCAUACAAAUUGACGAAAAUACCACCCACGUGACUUAAGUCACGCAGGUGUUAUGCCCAACGUGACUUAAGUCACUAUGGGUUACAACCUGAGUGAGCUAACCCACGCUGAAAAUACCAAUGAAAAUUGCUCUUCUCCCAUCCAAUAUUGCUCCCUCCCAUAAAAAUUGACGAAAAUACCACCCACGUGACUUAAGUCACUAUGGGUUACAACCUGAGUGAGCUAACCCACGCUGAAAAUACCAAGUGUGACUUAAGUCAUGCAGGUUGUAACCCAGAGCGACUUAACUCACUCAUGUUGUAACCUAGAGUGACUUAACUCACAUUGGGUAUAACACAUGCGUGACUUAAGUCACAUGGGGGGUAUUUUCGUCAGUUUGUAUGGGAGAAAAGCAAUUUUCAACUAAAAUAAUCUAGACCGAUUGCCCAGUUUCUAUUACAUGGUUCUCUUGAAAGAAAAGAAACCCCUUCUUUCUCUAAAAAAAAAAAAAAUGGAAGAAUAUCAAUAUUUGUUAUAAGCUUCUUGCCGUUGUCACCGUAUAGCAACUUAGUUUCCAUCUUCUUGAGCAUAUAAAUAACUAAUGGUUGAAAUUGGUAGAAGAAACCUGAGUCCCACCCACUCCUAUGCAGUUGCUGAAAAAUCAUGAGCACAACCUAGGCCAUUACUCUGGACUUGACAAAGACACGCUACAGACUCCACUCAUUAAAAUCUUAAUUUAGAAUGGAAAUGAUAAAUAUGAAAAUUUAUUCAAAUUAAGUGUGUGUGUGUGGGUGGGGGAUUAAAAGUGGCACUAGUUAAUGCACUGCAAUGGAAAUACACCUCUGUACAGUAAACGUAAUCCAUCCUCAAGUAAUAGAAUCAUCUUUGUAAUAGAAUCUGUUUCAAAAUUGCUCAAAAAAAAACAGAAAAACAAUACAUGUACAAAAUCCAUCCUCAAGUGGCUUGAUUUGGGUAUAGAUGUUAAAGUAGAUAUAUAAUAAAUAUCAGAUACUUCGUAGUACUCAACAAACAAACCAAUACAUCUCAUUUUCAUGAUAUUGUUUCAGUGAAACAACAUUCCAAGUCAAUAGAUAUGCAGUUACAGCUUGCAAGUACCGCUGAGACAAAAUGGAUACAAAAACAGAUACAAAAAGUUUUCUAAGCACCUUAGUUUGCAUUUGUACAUGGAUGUAUGAGAACAUAACAUUAAGUAAAGAACACUUGGAUGUAUGAGAAGAAAAAUCUAAAAUAUAAAAACAGAUAAGCAACCAAAUUCAUAAGUACAUGUUCAAAAGUCUAGUCUAGGGAAAGCAUUAGAGUAGAGAGGUAGCCUAUUAAAAAGUAGUUGUCUAGCAAAGCUCAGUUUCAAAUUUGAGGUUAAUACCCAUGCUGAACAGCUCCUGAGACAAUAACUUAGCUCCAUAUGGAACACUGGCCACCACAAUGUCAUCGGCUGAUUCACAGAUUCGGCAAUAGGGACCUGGUAUUUUUCGGCCACCAGAUACCGGUCGCAAGAUCACAUUUGCAACAUUUUUGCAUUUACUACAAAUGUGUAUCUGAGACGAAUCACUCAGGGUGAAGAGGCGCUCAUACAAGUUGGCUGAUGCACCAUGAGCUAUCAGACAAUCACGCUCCAUCUCACCAAACUUGAUACCUCCAAAUCGCUUCCUGUCAGCAACAGGCUGUCUGGUCAGCGGGUGAACUGGGCCAGUGUUCCUGAACUUUACUUUGUCCUCUGACAUGUGGUGCAGUCGCUGGUAGAAUGUAGGGCCCAUAAAUAUGAGAGAGCAGACCAUCUCACCAGUCCUCCUAUUGUAUACUCGUUCUUUUCCCCAACUUGAAAAUCCAGCUCUGUCAUGUACGGAACAUAAACAGGACUCAAUACAACAACAAAACAUGACAACUUAAAAGUGAAACUUUGGAAUGAAAUUCCUAAAAUUAAAGUGAGCCUGGAGCAAAUGCAAAAAAAGGAUCUACAACUAGGAAGACAAUAUUGGUAAAUAAGAAACAUCAGUCAUCCAGUAAGCAAGAUCAAAAAAUUGAAAUACAAGUUCCUCCUCUACAAUAACAUAAAAUAUAAGUAACCUAAUCUGUAAUUAAGGUAAGCUAAGUCGAGAUGAAGCAUUACCUGUGAAGCUGGUCUGUGAUGGCUUCGACAGAGGAAUGGGAGAAAGGAGUAGCAUUUCUCAGUGAACCAACACAAGCAAUGCCCUUUCCUAAAGCAGCUUCUAGGAGUUGCCCAGGAGUUUGUCGUGAGGGAAAUGCAUGCGGAUUUAUGACAAUAUCCGGAACAAUACCUUGUUUUGCGAAAGGAAAUUUUUCCCGAGACUCCAGAAAUCCUAAAACACCCUUCUGUUCGUGCAUACUGGAGAACUUAUCUCCAAGAACUGGACUUCUAACCUGCAAAAAUUAUUAAAAGCUUUUCUUAGUGAUCAAAUACAACAUAGCGGUAAAAGAAAUUGCAUUUCAGUAGUGAAAAGAUAAAUAAAAUUACCUGCCUUAACGAAACAACAGCAAAGUUCUUCCCCUCAUCAUUCGAGGACAGCACAACCUUUUGAACAUAUACCCUUUCGGUGUGUUUUAACUUUAUACUAUGGUCUGUCCCUGAAUCAGCACACCGACCAAUAAUAAUAUCACCACUCUGCAAAUUCCCACCAACAAAUGGAAACCCAUCAUCAUCAAGGCUAUCAACUCGACCAAUUUUACUCUGUAUCUAUCCAAAAUUAACAAUGUCUUCAGGUUUCUUUCUCUUUUCUGAAGAUUCCUUGUUUUCAAUUUCAGCUUUGUAACUCCUUAUGUGCUCAGAUCUGAACAUACCACGCUGCAAAGAAGUGUGGUUCAUCACCAAGGAAUCUUCUUGAUUAUAUCCAAGAUGUACAUUGACAGCCACAAUUGCAUUCUGCCCAUUAUAGAAUUCAGAUUUUGGAACAACUUUACUUUGACCUAGUAAUCCAGGUUUUCCAAGACAAUCAGAUGUUGUUGUCUGAAAUAAUGGUCUCUGAGGAUAAAAUAAUUGGUGAGACAAAGCAUCGACUCUUACAUUUGGGUUUGUUGUAGAAAAGCCAAUGGCCUGUGAAGAAUGCUUCUGGGAUUGAUACAACACUCUCCUAGCAUGGUCAUGAUUGGCAAAUGGAACAAGUGAACAACUUAGACCCAAUAAGAUCGACAUAUCAAGUUCACAGUGUGUAUACUUCACAGAAGAUUUUUCCUCUUUUCCAAAUAAAUACUGAACACCCCAAGCCGUCUUGAAGUCCUCUUCUUCUUCAGGACCAAUCAGCUCAAUCACACCAUUAUCCAAUAGGGACUGAAAAGAUUUACGCUCUGACUUAGAUCCUUUAAUCUUGAGCAGAUUAUUAACCACUAAGAGUGGACGGAGAAUCCUUCCUGCAUCAGAUAAUAUGCGCACUUCUCGUUGAUUUUGAUCUCUUUUGAUUUCCACCUAAAUAGACAUGGUUAACACUAGGGUCAAAAGAAACAAAACCAACUAAAUAAAAAAUUAAUUGCAAUUACUACAGUACAUUUUACACCACAAUCUUUAUUUAGUAUUUCGAGCAAUUGUUUCCCUUUCAGUUGUUCUCUAUUUCUACAGAAGGUGUCUAUCACAAUCUUAUCAAAACAAUAACGUUCCAAAACUAAAAUGUUGGCUAGCUAUUGACAAAUGUGUAAAUUGAAAGACAACUGAGAACAUGGUAUGUGUGUGAACCAAUUUUUGAUGGAGGAGAACAUAACGACAAAGCAUUUUGCAGAGGUAGUUCAUAUAGAGACAUGGUCUCACUCGAACAGGAAGCAAAGUUCAAACAUAUAAUAUAAUUACGCUAACCAUUUAAUCAUAUGUUAGACAUAAACUAAGCUGCAAUGUUAUUAUCGAAUAAAGACCAAGUUUCCAGAUGCUUAAUAUAUGACUAUGUUAUUUGUUAAUUAGUGUAUCAUCUUCUCUGCAAGUUGGAAUGGUUUAGUUUAAGCUAUUAAACCUCAAAUUAAUAGCAUUCAACGACAACCUUUUUCUACUAUAUGGAUUCUCUCCAUGGCUGAAAUGAAAGGCAAGUGCUAUAAAAUAUAUAAAAUAAGAAUGAGAGAAUAAAAGUGAACCUGAUGAUGCAGUUCAUUUUUCCGUCUUCUAUUUCGUAGCUCUGCCACAAAUGGUGCAGAAUCUGAACAAACUCCAACCCAGUCCCCAUUUAGGAAGACUUUGUCUUUUUUUCCAAGAACAGUGGUAGUAUCAUCAACAAGUUCUUCCAUCCCACAAUCAAACAACAUAGGAAGUAUAGAUUCAGUUACAUUGGUACUCACUACUCCUGUGGCAGCCAAAUUCUUUACUAGUCCGCAAUUUUCACCAUCUGGGGCAGAGAGGAAACAAACCUUUUACCCCAGUGAGAAGGAUGCCUGCAAACACAAACUUCCAUUAAAAUGAAUGAAAGCAUUUAAAUUUUUAUAAUAAACAAAGCAAUAAUUCAAGCAUGUAUUUGAACUUUAAACUUUAAGAGAAAUCAAGUAUUCAUUGUACCACAAACAUCAAUCCCUUCACUAGGGAACAAGUAUACAGCUAAAGCUACUAAGACAAUGCCAGAAACCAAAUCAAACCCUGUAAAGGUUGGGAAGUUGAUACUUAUAAAGUGAUACUGAUGCCAGUCAUGACUAACAAAGAGAUAACAGAUUUCAACAUGAUUUCUCACCUAACCAUUUUAAUCAGAACUUACUAAUUUAUCAGAUACAUGCCCUCAAUGAGGGCACUUUACAGAAGCUGAUACUGAAAAUGAAAUGGAAGAGACCAAGAUAGUCACGCCAAAAAAACUUGGCAUCUAGUCUACACAGGUGGCAAAUAAAGUAUUGAAUUGAUAAACCAUGAGUUUUAAAGAGCAUACAGUCGGUAGACUGGUUUAACUUUGGUAUUCUUGAUGAUAGCAAUAUUCCAAGGGGACUUCACUUAACAUGUUUAUGAGUUAUAUUGAGUCCAAAAAAAAAAGGAUCAUUAGUUAUAAGAUUUGGUAUGAUGAUGAUAUUUAACGUUCAUUCAGUCAGCUAGGAUAAAAAAAUCUAUUGAGACACUUUACCCAUCACAAAAGCUAUAGAAAGACUAAACUAGACAGUUAAAAGUAACUUACGGGUAUCUAGCAUCCCCAACCUUUCCUGUGUAUUGAACUUGUUGCCUUGUUCUUCUUAAUUCAGCCAUGGUUUGCAAUGGAUUAAUUCGGCCAAGAGUUGCAACCACACCAGAAAUCCUUUCCAUCCUUUUAAAAGGAUGUGUCCAUGCUCCAGUAGAGAAUGCUCUUUGGAGACCAUUUGUAAUAAUGGAAGCAUCAAGAUAAUGCUCAAUUUGACGAACAUCUCGAUCUCCAUAGAGGUCUCUUUGCAGAACCUUCCCCAUUUGCUUCCGAGCAUGUGCAAAGUGCACUUUGAUCUCGUGCUCGAGCAGCUCACCGGCCAACUCAAGUGAUGCAGGAGGGUUUUAUUAGUAAUUUAGUAGUAUUUAUUAUUUAGCCAAAUCUUAGUAAUUUUCUAGAACUCUAUUAUUAUUAUGUUUUAUUUUAUUUUAGCCCACGGGUUUGUUAUUUCUUUCACUAUAUAAGCAUAACUAAUGUAGCCUAAGAGGCACACUUUUAUUCAUUAAUAAUAUUCGAGACUUUUCUCUCAAUUCUGGUGGAUUCCGGAAACCCUUAUUUUGAUAGGUUUGUCGCUUGCUAACCCUACGCUUCCGUACUGCGACUUCAAGCCUCUUAUUUCGAAAGUCAUCCCUGUUAUCCGUUUUUUGGCGUCCAGUAUAAGCCAGUAAGAGAACCUUCACCAUGUAUGCCAGGUCCGUGCCUUUCUUUUUAAUCCCUUAAUGUUCGGAAAGACAUACAAGUUGAGGCACGCAUCAAUAGAUUCUGAGGGCAGAAAUUGGACACCCUUAACACGUUCCUCUAAGAAAAGAACAGCAUUCUUUCCCCUACGAAAUGUAUCACAUUUGUCGUCGGCUUCACGAAUGGAUACAAAUAUAAUGUUAUGAAUUCUUCCAUCUCCCUCUCAAUAAUUGAUGAGAUCAACAAUCUCUUUACCUGAAGUGGCACCAAGGGCAUAAAAUAGUAUCCAUACCGGAAUCUCACAGACAAAAAAAUAUAUUGUGAGCAACUUCUCUUCAUUUUUAAUUCCUUCAAUGCUGGAAUUCUCCACCAAGUUAACAACCAUCCUAUUUCUCUUCAUCUGUGACUUGUAUGCAACUGCCCAAUACGGAAUAUUUGAAACCCAAAGCCUCUUCAGAAAUAUUUGCUCUGAAUUAAAAUGUAGACUAGAGACACAUGUUUUUAAUUGUGGAUAAAUUUUACUCAAAUUUAGUCUCUAUUUUGAAAACCUCAUACAAAAAAUGAGUACUUUUAAUUCCUAAAGCAAAAUAGGGACUAAAAUUUAAUAAAAUUUAUGCAGGGAACUCAAACGGCUGUGAAUUGUAUAGGACUAAAAAUAUAUGUAACAAACAAGAUAGAAAUUCAUGUAAGUAAAUAAAGAAAUCAUAAUUAUAGAUAACCUUCUCAGCACCCUUGAUCAGAAAGUAGCCUCCAUGGUCAAAUUCACAAUCACCUUUUUCAACAUCACUCAUCCAGCAGAGAUCUGACUUGACCAUAACAGGCAGUCUCCCAAAAGUUAUUUCUCUCUUCUCCUCCAUGAUUAUCUCUCUAUCAAUAUACUCCUCUUUUCCUGUCUUAAAUUUAUCACUCUGAACCUUCUUCGGAGUAUAUACCUGAAAUUAACACACACACACACACGCACGGUUGUGUUACCCAAACAUCAAAGACACCAUACGUGUUUAUCUCUAUCUCUCUCAUUUUUUUACUUCUACAACUUACCCACAUUUCAAAAUUACACAAUAAAAUCAAUGCAUUUCUCAUAUAACAAAAAUAACAAACAGGAACCACAAAUUUCAAAGCAUAAAAAAUAGUAACUCUUGACAAAAUCACAACAACACCUUAAUUUAUUAUAAUGUUGCCAAAUCCACAUAGAAAAAUGAAAACUUUAAGAAAUGAUUCCGAUUUUUUAAUUUUUUUUAUAUUCUACAACUUACCCACAUUUCGAAAAUACAUACAAAAAUCAAUGCAUUUCUAAUAAACACCAAUUUAUUAUGAAUGCUAACCCACAUAGAAAAAUGAAAACUUUUAAGAAAUGAUUCAAAAUUUCUAACCUGAACUUGAACAUCAAUUUUGAUUUUGGAAGCAUAGGUCAUCCUCUGAAGACGAGCAUGUCUAAGAAGCAUAACGGUAAUGUUCAUUUUCUCCUUUCGUAGAAGGGUCAAAAACCAGGCGUAACUGUAAGCUCUCCAAAGGAAUUGAAAGCAUUUUGAAGACCAGAAGUGAUGAAUUAAUUAUAGGAAUUGAUUUGGUGACUGAUUAAACCGUACUCGUUGAAGAACACGAUGGAAGCUUUUUUGCAGAAAUAUUUGACCAUGUCUUCACCUAGUUCGUUGAGGAUUUCAGCAUUUGAUGGUUUUUCUUCAUCGUCGUUUAGGUCAAUGUCCAUUUCCAAGUUAGCGUCUUUGCUUGAACCGACGUGACCCAUGGAUUGGUUGUUGAGAACUUCUUCUUCAUUACUGUAGAAACUCACUAAGAUAUAAGAAAUAUUUGUAUAUUCAUUGUAUGUUGCAAGUAUAAGGAAAUUGUCCUGAUUAUAUUAUAGGAUUGUUGACAAAGAAACACAAGAAAUAAUUAUACAUAAAGACUAAUUACUCCUAAAAUAAUUAAAAUAAAUAGAGAAUUAUAAUAUAUCUUAACAUCCCCCCUCAAACUCAAGUGGGCGGAGCUUCAACCAACUUGAGUUUGAAAACUAAAGUGCGGAAGCGUCCUGGACAAUGAGGUUUUGUGAACAAAUCAGCCGGUUGAUCAAGAGUGCCAAUGGAGAUAAGAUGAAGUUCACCACGGAGAAGAUGCUGACGAAUGAAGUGACAAUCGAUUUCAAUAUGUUUGGUUCGCUCGUGAAAAAUGUCAUUGUGGGCAAUUUGAAUCGCACUUCUAUUGUCACAAUAUAGAUCAGUUUGUGAAGAUUGUGAUGUCUCUAAAUCAACAAGAAGCCAACGAACCCACAAUAUCUCAGAAGUAGUAUCAGCAAGAGCACGAUAUUCAGCUUCAGUGCUAAAGCGAGCUGUCAAGGUUUGUUUCUUGCUACACCAAGAUAUAAGAGAAUCUCCAAGAAAAAUACAAAAUUCAGUGGUGGAACGACGAUCACUAGGAUCACCGGCCCAAUCGACAUCAGAGUAGGCUCUAAGAAUCAAUGGAGAUGUAGAUGAGUAAUGAAGACCAUAAAAUAAAGUACCCUAGAUAUACCGAAAAAUCCGAAGGACAGCAGCGUAAUGUGUGGUACGUGGAGAAGCCAUGAAUUGGCUAACAAGAUGAACAACAUAUGAAAUAUCUGGCCGAGUAACAGUGAGGUAUAUAAGACUACCUACGAGCUGCCAAUAAAGAGUAGCAUCAUUAAGUAAAGUACCAUCUUGAGGAGUAAAUCGAACGUUUGGUUCAAGAGGAGUGUGUUCAAUUUUACUAUCACUGAGACCUGCUCGAGAGACAAGAUAAGAAGCAUACUUAGCCUGUGAGAGAAACAAGCCAUCACUCGAAGAUGAUACUUCAAGCCCUAGAAAGUAACUUAAUGGUCAAAGAUCCUUCAUCUCAAAAUGUUGACACAGGAAUUUAUUGAGCUCUUCAAUUCCAGCAGAGUCAUCUCCAGUGAUAAUCAUGUCAUCGACAUAAAGAAGUAAGACAACAGUACCAUUAUCAAUUUUUCGAGUAAAGAGAGCAGAAUCAUGACCACUGGAGGAGAAAUUCAAUUGGGUGAUAGUCUUGUGAAAUUUAGCAAACCAAGCUCGAAGUGCUUGUUUGAGACCAUAAAGAGCCUUGCGAAUGCGACAUACUUUAUUUUCCUGACAAGUAUAUCCAGGAGGAGGACACAUGUAAACCUCUUCUUCUAACUCACCAUUAAGAAAUGCAUUUUUAACAUCCAUUUGAGUGAGUUUCCAUUUGCAUGUGGCGACAAUGGCAAGAAGUGUUCGAACAGAGGUGAUGCGUGCAACAGGGGCAAAUGUUUCUUCAUAAUCAAUACCAUACUCUUAAGUGAACCCUUUUGCCACAAGACGAGCUUUGUAACGCUCAAUAGAUCCAUCAGAGAGAGUCUUUAUUUUAUAAACCCACUUGCAACCUACAAGAGUCUUAUUAGAAGGAGGAUCAACAAGGUCCCAAGUGUGAAUUUUCUCUAAUGCCUGUAAUUCUUCCUGCAUAGUUUGCUACCAAUAAGGAUUUGUUGAGACUUCCUUAUAGGAUUGUGGUUCAUGAUAGUGAAGCAUAGUGGAAUAACAAUGGUAAUUACGAAGGUAGGGAGGUGGAUUUCUUACCCGUUUAGGAAGCUCAAUGGUGGGUGGUGCAGGAUCAACAAUCGGAACAACAUCAUCAGGAGUGGGUUGAACAUCAGAAGAGGUUGGAAGCUCACUAGAAGAACAUGCAUAUGUCUAAGAACCUGCAUGUGUGUCACUAGGAAAAAGGUCAACAUCAGGGUUAGUAAAGAGAGGAGUGGAAGUAGACGGGAUUGACUUAAACUUUGACAAGGAAGAGAACAUUAUAUGUUCCCAAAAGACAACAUGGCGAGAGAUGCAAUGCGUUGGGAUAUUGGAUCCUAACAUCGAUAGCCUUUGUGUUAAGUGCCAUAACCAAGAAAACAACACAGACGAGCAUGAGGCUCAAGUUUAGUAAACUCAUGGGGUUGAAGGAGGACAAAACAAGCACAACCAAACACCUUAAGUGAGUUAUAAUUUGGUGUAGUGAGAUAAAGACGCUCAAAAGGAGAGACAUUACCAAGGACAGAGGAAGGGAGACGAUUGAUUAUAUGGACUGCGGUAAGAGCGGCUUCAUCCCAAGCGUGUUCUGGACACGAGGCUGAGAUAAGCAUGGCACGGACUGAGUCAAGAAUGUGACGAUGCUUUCUCUCAGCACGACCAUUUUGUUGAGAUGUGUAUGGACAUGAAAAUUCAGACAAGGUACCCUGCUCACUAAGAAAUGACAAGAGUUUAGAAUCACGAUAUUUCAUGGCAUUAUCUCACCGAAAGACUUUAAUGACUUUAGAAAAUUGUGUUUGAAUCAUUUUGGCAAAAUUGAUGUAAAUAUGAGGAAGCUCGUGUCUAUUUUUCAUCAUAUAUAUCCAUGUAAAGCGAGAAUAAUCAUCAAUAAAUAGAACAAUAUAACGAGAACCUCCCAUAGUAGGUGUGGGAGCAGGACCCCAAAUAUUAGAAUGCACUAUAUCAAAUGGUGAAACUGAAAUGGAAGUACUUUAAUCGAAAGACAAGACUAGUUGUUUAGCAAUUUAACAAGCAGUACAAUCAAAAGACUCAUUGGCGACAUAUCCUAAAUAACCUCGAGACACUAGAGGACGCAACUUACCAAUUGAACUAUGUACUAGACGAUGAUGCCAAAGUUCAAUGGGCGAAUGUGUGGAAGCUGCACAAAUGUUUGACUCAUGAGGAAUAUGCAGUUCAGUGAGCUCAUAUAACCUUCUGAUCUUACGCCCAGUCCCUAUGAGUUGUCGGUCCGUGGAUCCUGCACAUGAUAUCAAGAGAAAGAGAAUAUAAUUUCAUAACCAAGGUCACAUAAUUGUCCAACAGAGAUAAGGUUAAAGUUGAGUUUAGGGAUAAGAUAUGUAUUAGGUAGGCUUAAAUUAGAGAGGGAGAUAGAACCUGUAUGGCUUACGUGCAUAAGAGAUCCACCGGCGGUGUGGAUAGAAGGAUUAAUGUCAUUUUUUGAUAGGGAAGAAAAUAAAUAAGAUGAUGAUGUCAUGUGGUUACAACAUGCAGAAUCAAGAUACCAUUUAGAAUUAUCUGGUGUAGUGGAAAGAGCGGCAGUGGAAAGAGCGGCAGGAGCAUUAUCAGAAGAAAAAAGUUGUCUCAAAAGAGACUCAAUAAUUUGUGACACCCAAUGGAGUCAGGAUGAGAUUGAUUCCGAUUUUGAUCAGACCGUGGAGGACGAGUGAGACAAUUUUGAAUCAAGUGACCGGCUGUCUUGCAGUAUCGACAACAAUUUGAAGUAAUAUGACCCUUUUUCAUGCAGUUAUAACAUUCAACAAUAGGACAAUAGGAGAAAGAAUGUCCAAAAUUACGGCAACGAUGACAAUAUUCCUCCAUCGUGAAAAUUGACCAAAUCACGUUGUUGUGUUUUGAGGCACAGAGGAAGAAGUUUGCUGCAAUUCACGUUAACAAUUGUGAUUGAUGAUGUCACAAUUGGAAAGGUAAUGCAAAGGGGAAAUUGCACAAAUGUGGCAACGUAAAUAUGAAGGACACGUUGGCAAUAUUUGGUGGAAUGGGUUUGAUGUGGUGAUUGGUUUAUGAGAGAAUUAAGUAAAUACACUGAUGGAUAGCGGCGGUGAUCAAAGAAAAAUGAAUACUCAGGAAGGAAAACAAUAAUGACAAAAAGAAGAGACAGGAAAACCUAAGCUCUUGAUAACAUGUAAAAACUCAGGAAGAUAUAAAAAAUAUUUGUAUAUUAUGUGUCUCAAGUACAAGAAAAUUGUCCUAUUUAUAUUAUAGGAUUGGAGACAAAGAAACACAAGAAAUAAUUAUACAUAAAGACUAAUUACUCCUAACAUAAUUAUAAUAAAUAGAGAUUAUAAGACUGGUGCUAGUUACACCCCAAAAAAAACUAGUUACACCCAAAUUUAUUUAAAAUUUUACAAUAAUAUCAAAAUUGUCCUCUUCAUGUAAAUGUUUAAAAACCCAUCUUUUAUGAUCGUUCUGAACCCUUACCCCCUUUCAUCCACAAAUCAUCAUAGAUGUGCAACCAAUAUCUGAAUCAACAUCUUUGUUAUUGAUCUGUAAUAUAUUCAUAAAGGUUAGUGAAUUUCAUGAAUUUCAUUUUCAAUGAGUUUCUAUUUGUUUAUUGUUUGUUUUGGUAUGAGAUAUGUUCAAUUUAGGUUAGUGUAAAUUAAGUUUACUUAUGUUCAAUUUAGGUUAAUGUAAAUUUAGUUUACUUAUGUCAAUGUAAAUUAAGUUUACUUAUUAUGUUCAAUCUAGGUUAAUGUAAAUUUAGUUUACUUUACCUUCAAUCUAGGUUAGUGUAAAUUCAGUUUACAUGUAUAUAAGAGGUUAGUGUAAACUCAGUUUACUCAAUCGAGGUUAAUGUAAAUUAAGUUUACUUAUGUUCAAUCUAGGUUAAUGUAAAUUCAGUUUACUUAUGUUCAAUUUAGGUUAAUGUAAAUUUAGUUUACUUAUGUCAAUGUAAAUUAAGUUUACUUAUUAUGUUCAAUCUAGGUUAAUGUAAAUUUAGUUUACUUUACCUUCAAUCUAGGUUAGUGUAAAUUCAGUUUACAUGUAUAUAAGAGGUUAGUGUAAACUCAGUUUACUCAAUCGAGGUUAAUGUAAAUUAAGUUUACUUAUGUUCAAUCUAGGUUAAUGUAAAUUAAGUUUACUUAUGUUCAACUUAGGGGUAUUAGUCAUUCUGAGGUGUAACUUGUUUUUUUUGGGGUGUGACUAGCACCAGUCAGAUUAUAAUACUCCUUCCGUCCCUUAAUACUUAUCCAUUUGGAAUAUUUUUAAUUUUGACCUAAUUGGUUUUGACUGUAUUUUUCAACUAAUAUGCAAAGAUAAAUAACAUUAUAUAAGAUAUCGUUAGAUUCGUCUCGAUGAGUAUUUUCAAAAUAUCAAAUUUUUAUAAUUUUUCAUAAUAUAUUAUUCAAGAUAUUUAGUCUCAAAGUUAUGCAUUGACAUGCGUAAUAAGGUCAACUGUGUCAAGUAUGUCCUAAAAUAUAAGCAAAAAAAUCUCAUAUUUUUUGUCUCAAAAUAUAAGUAAAAAAUACCAACUUUUAUGCUAUUAUUAUGUUUUUUUCAAACAAAUCAUCUUUUUCAAUGUAAAAUUAAAUGCAAAUUGCAUUCAAUUUGUUCUCCUUUUUAUUUUCUCCAUAAUUUUUAACUAAUGAGAAUUAUUUUUACAUCUUUCCAUAAAACUUAUUCCAAGAAGAACACAAAAAAUUAUAACUCAAAUCACUAAAUGUUAGUUUUCUUAAUAAGUGUGAAUUAGUGUUUUUUGCUUAUAAAUUAGGACGGAGGGAGUAUAUCUUAACAAACUGCGAUGAUGAAAUCUAGGGUUUAAGGAAAAGGAUUGCUACAAUUUACCCCUUAACGCUUAACUUGGUACUCUCACUCUGCGGUGUAGUACAGUGUGAGUGUGAGAGUUUUGAAAUGCCAACAUUUGGCUUAAUAGCAGUUUUUCGCUCUCUAACUUUCACGAAAUUGCGAUUUUGAUCCCCUAAAAAAAUCGCAAUUUUGAUAAAGUUAGGGGUCUAAAACUGCUAUUAAGCAUAUGAGUUUCUAAAUUUAUCAAUUUUUUCAGCAAUUUAAGUAUACUAUUUUAGCAUUUGUUUAAAAAAAAAAAAAAGCAAAGUAUACUGCUGGUUAACAUAAGUACUUUUUUAAUGUUUAAACGUGCUAUUGUGAGUUUAAUUUGUAUUUGUCAAUGUAAAAAAAAUUGUAUGCAUGCAUCUUGAUCUGUCCUGGUCAAAAUGAUUUUAAUUGCAAAAUAUGAUAGAGUGUAACAUCCAUGUCUACAAAGUUUUACACCGGUAUGUAUUAGUUGAAUUCUUGUUAUAGAAUAGAAAAUAUUAAAGUCAUAUUUUCUACACGGACAUGUUAGAUCUCAAAUUAUAACUUAAUCUUGCAUGUCUAUUGAUAUGAUUUUUUUGUCAAGUAGUUUAGUGGUUAAAAUUCAUCUUAAUUCAAAGUGAAUAAAUGGGGUGUCCAGGAUUCGAACCCUCGGCUCCUGCAUAUAAUAAUGUAUGUUCUUGCCAACCAGCUAUGCCCACAAUGACAUGUCUAUUGCUAUGUUAGUCUAUUUAAAAAUGACAAAUUAGAUUUAAGAGAAAUGAUAUUUGUACAACUAUUUUUGUGCAAUUGUUCGACAACUUUCUUUCUCAUACUUAUAUCGUAUCAUUAUUCUCUUUCUUUUUUCUCUUUGUUGUUUUUGAAAAGAUCGAGUCAGACCUUAUAAUAGAUAAAUAUCAAGUUUGAGCCUUCAAUUUAUUAGACAAGUGAAGUAUAUUUAUUACUACAACCCUUACAUUGCACUUUUUUUGCGCUACAUACCCUUAAUCUGCCAUAUUGUAACUCUCCCAAAAAAAAAAUAUAACUAGCUUGAAAAAUCCAAUUCUAAUAUGAUCAUUAGUUCAUUGAGUGUAAGGAAAGAAAACUACAAAGAAGAUGAAGAUGAUGCUCAAGAUCAUAUAAAAUUCAAAAGUUGGACUUAAAAAGAUAUGGAAUAUGAGAAACUAGGAUACCGUUUGGCCCGGCUUUUUUUCAGCUUUUCUAAGUUUUUAAGGAGAAGUUAGGCCAAACACAAUAUCAAUAAAGUACCUUCGAAAAAAAGUACUUUUUUUAGAAUGCAUAAAAUUGAAUGGAAUGAGCUUUAACCAAAAGUUGUUGAAUGCUACUUCAAAAAACUAUUUCUCCCCAAUUUAUUUCACAAGCACCUCUCUUCAACUCCCGCCGGCAACCUUUUGUUUUAUUUUUUCAAUAUGCUUUUUUCUUCCAUUUUAUUUUUUUUU